UGCUAAUCUGCGAUAAGCGUCGGUAAGGUGAUAUGAACCGUUAUAACCGGCGAUUUCCGAAUGGGGAAACCCAGUGUGUUUCGACACACUAUCAUUAACUGAAUCCAUAGGUUAAUGAGGCGAACCGGGGGAACUGAAACAUCUAAGUACCCCGAGGAAAAGAAAUCAACCGAGAUUCCCCCAGUAGCGGCGAGCGAACGGGGAGCAGCCCAGAGCCUGAAUCAGUGUGUGUGUUAGUGGAAGCGUCUGGAAAGGCGUGCGAUACAGGGUGACAGCCCCGUACACAAAAAUGCACAUGCUGUGAGCUCGAUGAGUAGGGCGGGACACGUGGUAUCCUGUCUGAAUAUGGGGGGACCAUCCUCCAAGGCUAAAUACUCCUGACUGACCGAUAGUGAACCAGUACCGUGAGGGAAAGGCGAAAAGAACCCCGGCGAGGGGAGUGAAAAAGAACCUGAAACCGUGUACGUACAAGCAGUGGGAGCACGCUUAGGCGUGUGACUGCGUACCUUUUGUAUAAUGGGUCAGCGACUUAUAUUCUGUAGCAAGGUUAACCGAAUAGGGGAGCCGAAGGGAAACCGAGUCUUAACUGGGCGUUAAGUUGCAGGGUAUAGACCCGAAACCCGGUGAUCUAGCCAUGGGCAGGUUGAAGGUUGGGUAACACUAACUGGAGGACCGAACCGACUAAUGUUGAAAAAUUAGCGGAUGACUUGUGGCUGGGGGUGAAAGGCCAAUCAAACCGGGAGAUAGCUGGUUCUCCCCGAAAGCUAUUUAGGUAGCGCCUCGUGAAUUCAUCUCCGGGGGUAGAGCACUGUUUCGGCAAGGGGGUCAUCCCGACUUACCAACCCGAUGCAAACUGCGAAUACCGGAG
rnacentral:rRNA from 1 species